rnacentral:tRNA from 1 species
GAGGGUAUAUCUCAGUGGUAGAGCGCAUGCUUAGCAAGCAUGAGGUCCUGGGUUCAAUCCCCAGUACGUCCA